rnacentral:miRNA from 1 species
GCAGACACAUUCCAGCCAAUCAGCAGCAGACCCUCCCUCCCAGACCCUCCCACCUCCUGGACAGCAUCCAUUUUACAUUCAUUGUGAAGCUGCAUUCUUAGUGAGCUGUCCAAGAGGUGGGAGGGUCUGGGAGGGAGGGUCUGCUGCUGAUUGGCUGGAAUGUGUCUG